rnacentral:rRNA from 1 species
UACGUAGGGUGCAAGCGUUGUCCGGAAUUAUUGGGCGUAAAGAGCUCGUAGGCGGUCUGUUGCGUCGGCUGUGAAAACCCGGGGCUCAACCCCGGGCCUGCAGCCGAUACGGGCAGACUAGAGUUCGGCAGGGGAGACUGGAAUUCCUGGUGUAGCGGUGAAAUGCGCAGAUAUCAGGAGGAACACCGGUGGCGAAGGCAGCUCGCUGGGACGGUACUGACGCUGAGACGCGAAAGCGUGGGGAGCAAACAGG